AAACGCAACCGCAUGGUUAGUGUUUGGAAAGAAUUUCGGUUGGGGAUGGGCUCGCGGCCUAUCAGCUUGUUGGUGAGGUAAUGGCUCACCAAGGCGUCGACGGGUAGCCGGCCUGAGAGGGUGACCGGCCACACUGGGACUGAGACACGGCCCAGACUCCUACGGGAGGCAGCAGUGGGGAAUAUUGCACAAUGGGCGAAAGCCUGAUGCAGCAACGCCGCGUGAGGGACGACGGCCUUCGGGUUGUAAACCUCUUUUAGCAAGGAAGAAGCGAAAGUGACGGUACUUGCAGAAAAAGCGCCGGCUAACUACGUGCCAGCAGCCGCGGUAAUACGUAGGGCGCAAGCGUUAUCCGGAAUUAUUGGGCGUAAAGAGCUCGUAGGCGGUUUGUCGCGUCUGCUGUGAAAUCUGGGGGCUCAACCCCCAGCCUGCAGUGGGUACGGGCAGACUAGAGUGCGGUAGGGGAGAUUGGAAUUCCUGGUGUAGCGGUGGAAUGCGCAGAUAUCAGGAGGAACACCGAUGGCGAAGGCAGAUCUCUGGGCCGUAACUGACGCUGAGGAGCGAAAGGGUGGGGAGCAAACAGGCUUAGAUACCCUGGUAGUCCACCCCGUAAACGUUGGGAACUAGUUG
rnacentral:rRNA from 1 species